rnacentral:rRNA from 1 species
AGGCAGCAGUGGGGAAUAUUGGGCAAUGGAGGCAACUCUGACCCAGCAAUACCGCGUGAAGGAAGAAGGCCUUCGGGUUGUAAACUUCUUUAGACAGGGAAGAAAGAAAUGACAUUACCUGUAGAAUAAGCCACGGCUAACUAC